AUGGUCGACCACGUCGUCGGCGCCACCACCAACUACGCCCUCUGGAAGAAGAUCCGCGAUUUAUUCCUCGCCAACAGCGAUGCCCGGUACAUGAUCCUCAACCGGCAGUAUCGAAAUCUCAAGCAGGGUGACCUACCCGUGGCUGAGUAUGCGUGCCGCAUGAAUCUCCUCACCGAAGGCCUUGCGGACAUCGACCACGCUGUCACGGAGACCGACCUCACCACCCAGUUCCUCCAUGGACUCGACAAGCGGCUUGACACCAUUCGCGUCGUCCUCGGUGACCAGGGCCUCCCGUUCGACACCGUCCUCUCACGGGUGGUCCUGGAAGAGGAGUCCCAGGUGCAACGGGCUGUCGAAGAGAGCGCCUCCGCCUUCGCUCUUCCCGGUGGUGAUCGCGGCUCC
rnacentral:rRNA from 1 species